rnacentral:lncRNA from 1 species
GGAGAGUCAGCAUUUUGACCCCCUCCCACCAAACUGGAAGGAUGUCAGCAAUCUUUCGCUUAUUAUAUUCCUAGGAAAACAUGCUGAGAUAACGCUACAACGGCUCAGGGUGUAACUUCAGUUGAUAGGCACAGGAAGUAAAAGUUCACACUUCUCAGUUCCAAAGGUUUUAAACUCUGAAAUUCUGUCCUUUGUCUUUUCUCAUUCUUCUGUUGGUUGGGAUGCAAAGAUGAGUUUAUUUUAAGAUUCCUCAGGGCAGCAUUUCAUUCCUUGACUCUUCUAUUCUUUGCCGCAUUACCUCACUGCAUUAGUACUUGUAUCUCCCUCUGAUGGCAUCUAGUUUCCUUUCCAUUCACAGUGGCCGGGGAUCAUAUCUCUGAUCCACUUAGAAACACAGUGAACUCUACCCCUGAGAAUGUAAACGCUUUCUCAGUCACAUCCAUUGAUCUUCGGGGCUCUAUUUUUGGGUUUCCAUUCACGCACUCAUUUGACGUUUGGGAUAUUUGCUGUUCCUUUGAGGGGCAAAUAUUAAGAUGGGUGCUAGGAACUAGAUAAAGAAUAUUUCUGUGAUUUUGUAGAAGCAAGUUUUGAUAUAGGUAUUGGUGAGAGUCUGUAUGAAUUCCAUACCCCUAUAGGUAAAAUGGAGAAAAGCAGACUACGGUAAAUUUAUCUUGCUGUACACGCUGAAAGAAAUGAACACUUAAAAAAAAAAGGAUUUUAACACUAUAGUUUAUUGAAGCUUGUUAUUAUAAAGCCUAAGUGUAAAAUACAUGAAUAAAUAAAACAAACAAGCAAAUAGUCUCAGAAAUUUAGCGAAUUAUUCCUAGAUUGAAAUUCCUUUUUCUAAAGAACAACAGAGCAUAUUCCUUUGAAGGAAUAUGCUAUAAUUUGAAGGCAACACAUUUUAUGAUGCCAUAGGAAAUAAGGAAAAGGAAGCCCAGAAUUGGAUUUUAAAAAUUCUGCAGCUGUAAUAAUGAACUGUUGCCAUGAGAAAAACACCUAAAUUAGAGGAGAGUGACUGCCGGUCUUAAUAAGAGGCAUAGUGGAAAGCACUUCUUGAAAAAGAAGUAAAAUAAAGGAAAAAUUGCAUUGUUGCAGGGCUAAUUUGAUGAGAGGACCUCAGUAAAUUGUGAUUACACAGUUAAUAAACCCUAGAGCUUUUUUUGGAAGACAAAAUUAGUUGUUUGGUGGUAAAAAAAAAAAAAAGAAAAAA